rnacentral:lncRNA from 1 species
UACUCGACGGGCCUCACGCUAACAACCACUUAACUCUGCAGCGCAUCUCGCGCACAUACGCGCUUUUCGUGUCCGCAGUGUGUAAAUCAUGCCGCGUUAGUCCCAGCGUUCGGAAUUAUUAUUUCCAAUCAUACACCGACUUAUCUCCUGGUGGCUCCGAUUAUUUUCGUUGAUAUGGGGUCGCUCAUCAAGUAAAAGCCGCUCUGGGACGGGCCUGAGCCUACGUCAUGUCAUAGGGACAUUACGGGUUUUUGAGGUUACGCAUUACAUGGAUUGUUAUUGGGUCAUUUGGGACCGCGCUACGUAACGUUUUGACGUUAUUGUUUACUAUUCUCAAAUUUUCCUGCAAAUUAUACAAAAUUUUAACCACUUAUUUUGCCAAUUAAUUUUUCUUUCAUUAUUGGCCCUUCCUACUUGGAGUUAGGGUUCGAAGGACAGGCCAGGGGCGGACUGGGUGGAAAAAGGCCCGCCCGAGUGGCAACCACCCCGCCACCCCGUUACCCGGGCCAGUCCGGCUCCCUCAGGGGAGCGUUAAAUAUUUUUAGGGAGGAUUAGACCUACGUUACAGGUGCUUUACGGAAAGGAAGGGAUUCAAGGGAUGCAAGCAAGACCCGAUUUUUUGCUUAAUUUGUUUUAUGAACGGUCGUAUAUAGGCGAAUGAAUGGCUUGUUACAGGAGACGGCGCAGUGCCCUAUCUCGAGUGGGUUGUCAAUGGAGCUUAUCUUAUACCUGAUAAGAUCAGCUUCUGUUUGAUAAAGUACUCUGAAUGAGUUGUCCGUUUCAUUAGGUGUGUCUUGUUUCCGUCCCAACUCAGAUAAUAUUAUUUUUCGAUUCUUUACCAGUCUCAUUGUCAGCCGAGUAAAAUUCAAGCAGCGGAGCUGCGAUGAGCACAUUGGUAGAUCCACCGCCCAACCUGUGCCGCACCUGUAUCCUAAUCGCCUUACCUGUCAUUGUUUGUCCUUCUCAAAUGUCGGAAUGGAAUCCGUCACGUAUGUUUUACAAUUGUUUCACUUUCGAAAUAUUUCCGUCAUUUUCUUGCACACCCGCGAUCGGCCUCCUUGCCUAAGAAAUCUCACCGACACGGUUCACUUCUCUCGCACCUGCACUCUCACCUUUCUGCUAAUCACUAAUAAGUGAACGUUUCAGAAGCCCAAACUCCUAUGCUAUGCAAGAAUGUCGUAUGAACCUACAAGCGUUGCCAAAUAUAGCUUGACAAAAAUCGAAUUUCUCGGGUAACCUGUGGACAUAUGUCUUCCAACUUAUCAGUGAAUUUUAUUCGCAAUUUUUCUAUCUAAAGUGUCUGAAAUGUUUCAAGGAAAAGCAUUCAAAAUCUCUCUUGAAAAUGUACAUUUCAUCCGGGAAAGUUCGGCAACGCCCAAAGUUUAAUAGUGUGUUUUUACUUCAAGGCAGCUAAUUGACGCUGCGAUUCGAUGAGGCAAUUAAACCUCAAAGAACUCGACUCCCUCUGCGUAAGGUUGAAGCCUUUUUAUAAGACAAAGGUGGCGGAAACAAAAAACUGCCCACUU